AUCCAGGUGACAACUGUCACAUCAGUCUCACAAGAGAACAAUGAGCAGUCACAUAAGGUUGUGAGUUCCUUUCUGUGCUCAAAGCCCUGCCUUGUGGUGCCCUUUGCCCUGUGUGAAAGCCCAAACCUCUUACUGCAGCCAGGGACUCAAGAUAUGGCUCUUCUCUCCUUCUAGUUUCAUCACUCACCAUUACUCACCUGGCUCCAGUGUCUACCCCGACUGAAUUGUUACUCAAAAUUGUCACCAGAUGGGGCCCAAGGAGGAGAUGCAGAUCUCAACUCACCUACCCUCAGAGGAAGACUAAGGGACUUUAGCGAAGCUUCAAGUUUCGGGAAUUGGCCUCAUCCACCCUCUGGAGCCUGCUUCUGCCUGCAAACCUUCACUUUCUCACUCGCUCAUUCGCUCCUUCGUCCACUAUGAGAUGGGAUGAAGGCUGAAACCUGUGCACACCACACUCCUCUCACUCUGCUCCUCGGUGAGUAGUAGCUCGUGCUGGGAUGGGCAGAGUCGCUGGAGAGGUAGGGAC
rnacentral:lncRNA from 1 species